rnacentral:rRNA from 1 species
GAUGAACGCUGGCGGCGUGCCUAAUACAUGCAAGUCGAGCGAACAGACGAGGAGCUUGCUCCUCUGACGUUAGCUGCGGACGGGUGAGUAACACGUGGAUAACCUACCUAUAAGACUGGGAUAACUUCGGGAAACCGGCGCUAAUACCGGAUAAUAUAUUGAACCGCAUGGUUCAAUAGUGAAGGACGGUCUUGCUGUCACUGGUAGAUGGGACCGCGCCGCAUUAGCUAGUUGGUGAGGUAACGGCUUCCCAAGGCGACGAUGCGUAGCCGACCAGAGAGGAGGAGCCGCCACACCGGGAGGGAGGCACGGUCCGGACUCCUACGGGAGGGAGCAGAGGGGAAUAGUGGACAAGGGGCGGAAGGCUGAGAGAGCCAUGCCGCGUAAAUGAUGAAUGUUUGAGGGGAGCAAAGGUGUUUUAACCGGGACGAUAAUGACGGUACCGGAGGAAUAAGCCCCGGCUAACUUCGUG